rnacentral:ribozyme from 1 species
CUUCCCUUCUUUCUUUCUUUCAUUUCGUGCUUUCAUUACAACCGAAAUGAAAAGAAAUGAAAGAAGAGAAGGGAAAGAGACAAAGAAAUAUAAUGUGGUGUUCUUUUUUCUCUCUUCUUUGUGUUCAUUUCGCUUACAAUGAAAUGAACAAAAGAAGAA